GCCAUCAGGCGCACCAACACUAAAGUACCGGAUCCUCUCAGAACUCCAAAGUUAUGUGUGCUUGAACGAGAGUAGUAUGAGAAUGGGUUUUUUUUCUAAAAUAACAUGCUAUUCUGGCGGCA
rnacentral:rRNA from 1 species